rnacentral:rRNA from 1 species
CAGUGUAGGCUUUGCCUGCUAUCUCUUACCCAUGUCUUUUAAGUACCUUACGUUUCCUCGGCGGGUCCGCCCGCCGAUUGGACAAUUUAAACCAUUUGCAGUUGCAAUCAGCGUCUGAAAAAACUUAAUAGUUACAACUUUCAACAACGGAUCUCUUGGUUCUGGCAUCGAUGAAGAACGCAGCGAAAUGCGAUAAGUAGUGUGAAUUGCAGAAUUCAGUGAAUCAUCGAAUCUUUGAACGCACAUUGCGCCCCUUGGUAUUCCAUGGGGCAUGCCUGUUCGAGCGUCAUUUGUACCUUCAAGCUCUGCUUGGUGUUGGGUGUUUGUCUCGCCUCUGCGUGUAGACUCGCCUCAAAACAAUUGGCAGCCGGCGUAUUGAUUUCGGAGCGCAGUACAUCUCGCGCUUUGCACUCAUAACGACGACGUCCAAAAGUACAUUUUUACACUCUUGACCUCGGAUCAGGUAGGGAUACCCGCUGAACUUAAGCAUAUCAAUAAGCGGAGGAA